GAUGAACGCUGGCGGCGUGCCUAAUACAUGCAAGUCGAGCGCCCAACUCAGCUUGUUUCUCCCCUUUGUCGAGACAGGUUCUUCCAGAUUUACCGAAAGUAAGAAUGGAAGAUCUUUAAACGAAGGAUUGAACAUUACAGAUAGUAAUAUUUACAAAACGUGAUGUGAGUAAAUUUCGUAGAAAUUUAACUCAUUGAGGAACGAGAUGAGUUGGGAGCGGCGGACGGCUGAGUAACACGUAGGAACGUACCCCAAACUGAGGGAUAAGCACCAGAAAUGGUGUCUAAUACCGCAUGUGGUCUUCGGAUUAAAGCUUCGGCGGUUUGGAACGGCCUGCGCAAGAUUAGCUUGUUGGUGAGGUAAUGGCUCACCAAGGCGACGAUCUUUAGCUGGUCUGAGAGGAUGAUCAGCCAGACUGGGACUGAGAACGGCCCAGACUCCUACGGGAGGCAGCAGUAGGGAAUUUUCCACAAUGGGCGAAAGCCUGAUGGAGCAACGCCGCG
rnacentral:rRNA from 1 species